GACGAACGCUGGCGGCGUGCUUAACACAUGCAAGUCGAGCGGUAAGGCCCUUUCGGGGGUACACGAGCGGCGAACGGGUGAGUAACACGUGGGUGACCUGCCCUCAGCUCUGGGAUAAGCCUGGGAAACCGGGUCUAAUACCGGAUAUGACUCCAUGACGCAUGUUGUGGGGUGGAAAGCCUUGUGCGGCUGAGGAUGGGCCCGCGGCCUAUCAGCUUGUUGGUGGGGUGAUGGCCUACCAAGGCGACGACGGGUAGCCGGCCUGAGAGGGCGACCGGCCACACUGGGACUGAGACACGGCCCAGACUCCUACGGGAGGCAGCAGUGGGGAAUCUUGCGCAAUGGGCGAAAGCCUGACGCAGCGACGCCGCGUGAGGG
rnacentral:rRNA from 1 species